GAUGAACGCUGGCGGCGUGCCUAAUACAUGCAAGUCGAGCGAACAGACGAGGAGCUUGCUCCUCUGACGUUAGCGGCGGACGGGUGAGUAACACGUGGAUAACCUACCUAUAAGACUGGGAUAACUUCGGGAAACCGGAGCUAAUACCGGAUAAUAUAUUGAACCGCAUGGUUCAAUAGUGAAAGACGGUUUUGCUGACACUUAUAGAUGGAUCCGCGCCGCAUUAGCUAGUUGGUAAGGUAACGGCUUACCAAGGCAACGAUGCGUAGCCGACCUGAGAGGGUGAUCGGCCACACUGGAACUGAGACACGGUCCAGACUCCUACGGGAGGCAGCAGUAGGGAAUAUUCCGCAAUGGGCGAAAGCCUGACGGAGCAACGCCGCGUGAGUGAUGAAGGUCUUCGGAUCGUAAAACUCUGUUAUUAGGGAAGAACAAAUGUGUAAGUAAAUAUGCACGUCUUGACGGUACCUAAUCAGAAAGCAACGGCUAACUACGUG
rnacentral:rRNA from 1 species